rnacentral:lncRNA from 1 species
UUUUAGCGGCCGUUACUGACAGGUUUUACUGUAAUUAGUGUGGGGAAUUUUUAAACUGGCCGUUAGUACAGGUGGCCGGUGUUGGCAGGGGGCCGGUAACACAAGUUUUACUGUAGUUUAAAUCGAAAAGAUUAAAUCUUAAUUCAAAAUUGUAUAUUAAAUUAUUACAAUUAUAAACUAUAUAGUUUAAUAUCCAAAACAUGUUUUUGAUUUCAUGUAAUGUAAUGAAAAUCUUAUUUGUAAAUUAUUGGUUACAAUGUUUAACAACAGGAAAUAUUCAAGAAUAAAUAAAAUAAAAGUUUCCCCUAACAACAAAACAUUCCAGGAAUUCUACUAUCAAAGUUCUAUUCCGUGAACAUCUGAUUAAAUUAUGGCUGGAAAGUUACCACAAGAUAUUCUAUGAAAAGAGUACAAUGUCCUCCUGGAGGGGUAAAAUUUUCCAUACUCUAAAGAGAGGCCAUUUACUAUUCAAUUUGCGUUCAUUUUCAAAUUUGCCGCGCGAGUAUCUAUGUAGCGUCGCGUGGUCAUUGGUCAUCAAGUCAUCAAUUAUUUCAUUUUCAUCAUAAGAUAACCUAAAAAUUUAGUAAAAAUUUUGAUUGGAAUAUAAUGCAUCGAUAAGGGGGCGAAAAAUGGAAAUUAGUGGCUUUUUUUGCUGUACUCAACUGUACUGUUUAGUAUGCUAGUUUUGGCUCUGGCUGGAUCUCUUAAACAAUUAUAAUCAGCUGAAAGUGGUCUACAAAAAACCAGAUAUAACCAAAAUAAAGAUAUAAAAAGUGUAUUGGCUAAUUGGAAGAAACUCAACAUUGUCCAUGCAUAAUAAGUUAUUACUUUAUAAACAAAUAUUAAGAUCUAGGAAUGGAACCUGGAUAUAAUCAUCAAGAAGAUAGCAGGAAUCCCGACAAACAACUUAAAUAAGUACAAGAAUAUUGAGGAAAUCCAGCUCCUCGAUACUACUGGGCAAACUAGAAGAUUGAAGAGGACAAAGCCUUUUGAACUAGUUUGAGUGAUAGGUGAUAGUGAAAAGCAGAGCAUAGUGCGUGAUGUGGCUGUGUAUGUUAGAAUAGUGCACGAUCUUGUUAGAUUAGAUAAGAGACGCUAUGGGGUAAGCUCUUCAUUUUAAGAAACAGUAGUAAUUUAGGUUAAAUUAAAAUUGCUCAUUGGUCAGUUAUGACCAGAUUGUUUUUUUUUUGUUUGGCAAAAAGGGCGUAAGUCAGAAUUGCACAUUGCUAAUGUUUUGAUGAUUUCUGGACCAGCAAAAAACUGUUGCAGACGUAAACUGUAUGUACCAAUAAAAAGAGCCGAUUUUUCUGGUCCAGAAAUCAUCAAAACAUUAUCGAUGUGCAUUUCUGACUUAAGCCCUUUUUCCCAAACAUCAGAGAAUUGUAAUGUACAAAUUCUCCUAUCUGAUUUUUCAUGAAUUUUGUAGGAGACGAAAAACCAUUUUUAGGAUCAUCUCCUGCUUUCACAUGUAAAUUUUGACAUGUCUUGUAGUAAAUAGAUAGUUGAAUUUACUACAAAACAUGUCAAAAAAUAUAUGAAAACAGGAGGUGACCAUAAAAAAAGUUUUUAGUCUCUCUUACAAAACUCAUGAAAAAACAAAUCGGAAGUAUGUCACAUCAGUGACUAUAUCCAGGGAAUGUCUAAAAAAUAUACUUUGAUGUCCCAAGAACCAAAUAUAACCUUUAUAUAUAUAUACAGGGUGUAACAAAAAUACAGGUCAUAAAUUUAAUCACAUAUCCUGGGACCAAAAAUAGUUUGAUUGGACCUAACUUACCUUAGUACAAAUGUGCACAAAAGAAAAGUUACAGCCCUUUGAAGUUAUAUAUUAAUAGCACCAAGGGCCUUAGAGGCCCAUGGCUUGAAAAGUUUGUUUUUUUCUUCAUUUUCACGUUUCUUUAUGUACUGAGAUCUUCUCUGGCUUGAUAUGUGAUUUUUCUCCAUUCCUUCCUCUUAUUCAUUUUUCUUUUCUGACCCUGUAACACCAUUCUUUCCAAAUCUUUUUCGACCUCUUGCUUCCAUCUAUUUUCCGGUCUUCCGGAAAGUUUCUCUUUCUUGAAGCUAUAGUGUAGUUUAGUACCCUUUUCGGAGUCCUCGUUUUUGGCAUCCUUUCAAUUUGACCUCGUGAUCUAAGUCUCUGUGCCUUUAUCACUCAUUUGAAGUUACAAAAUGAAAAGUGAUUUUUUCCAAUGUAUCGAAAACAAUGUGCUUUUGUGCAUGUUUCAAUUUAAUUAUUAUUGUAGUACCUACCAUUUAAACAACGUUUUAAAAACUUUUUUGCCUCUUAUUGCUUUUUCGAAAAGUCAAUUUUUAUCGAAAAAUUUUGAAUAUUUGUCAAAUCCACCACAUAUUUGUAUAUGGUUAAGUACGAUUAUGGAGACUUGGUGAUAAUAUGCAAACUUAUUUAUGCUUUACAUUUUUAGGUAUAUUUUGAACCAUAUUAAAAAAGAAGCCAGACUCGAUAAAACGUGCCUUAUCGAAAAAAUACAAAGAGGCAAAAAAGUUUUGAAAACACUCUGUUUAACUAAUGGUACCUCAGUAAUAGUUUAAUUGGAACAUACACAAACAUUUGGGGGGUUUAAAGGAACAAAACCCC